CUUUAUCUGCUGUAACCACUCUAAUCAAAAUAGUAGAGCAAGACCUUAUGGAGCCCAAACUAGUUUCGAUUUUCGAUGCUGGAGGAAUGAAGGUGUGGCUGCUCGAAACCAUCGAGUUGCUGUCUGCGAAGCUCUGCAUUCUGCAAGCAUUUUUGGAGGAGGGGUGUGAGACGAAAAUGCGGAAUGGCAGCUGGUUUGAAUAUAAAGUUGGUAGAAUAUAUGAUAAAGUUGUUAGAAUAUAUGACGAGCAUGAAAUAAAAUCUAAACUGGGACUAGUCUAUUCGGAAGCUAAAUGUGGGCAUCUUCAUGGGACCUUGAAAAUAAUGGUAAGAGAAAUUGAGGAAGUUGAAGAAUGGAUCCUGAUGAUAAAAAAAGGAACUGAUUUAGACCUUGAUGAGGGAGUUUGGGAUACCUACCAAAGUGCUUUAGAGCUUGAGAAUGAAGUAAUUGUAGGAUUCCACGCUGAUAUUGAGAAGAUAGUUAACCGCCUCUGUUAUUCACACUUUAUGAGAUCAGUUUUCACCAUUUUGAGGAAAACUAACAUUUACAAGUUUCGGAAAUAUGUUGAAAACCCUGUGCUGAAACUACAAGUUAUUCCACUCGUUGGGGAAGGAGGCAUAGGAAAGACUACAUUAGCCAAAAGAGUCUAUGGACAUCCAACUACUAUUGCUAGCUUUGACAUUCGAGCGUGGGUAGUUUUGUCUCAGGUUCCUAACCUCAAAGAGAUUCUCAUUGGUCUAUUACGUUGUGUUUCACCAAUAACAAGUGAAAUCUACACCCUAGACGAUGCUCAAAUAGCUAAGCAAUUAUGCACAAGUUUGAUGGGCAAGAAAUAUUUAAUUUUCUUGGAUGAUAUAUGGACCACUGCUGCAUGGGAUGCCAUCAAAGGAUAUUUUCCAGAGAAUUUUAAUGGAAGCCGAAUGUUAGUAACUACUCGGUUCACAAAGGUGGCUAAAUACUUGAGUACAAAUCCUUACCAUGUGAAAUAUCAAAGUUUAGAGAAUCUAUGGGAAUUAUUUUCAAGGAAAGUGUUUAGGCAAAGCCAAUGGGUUCCAUCCGUGGAAAUAGAAGAGAUGUUGAGCAAACAUUGGAUUGCGGAAAGGAUUGUUUUUGGUUGCAGUGGAUUACCGCUAGCCGUAGUUGUGAUUGCUGGACUUUUGGCAACAGAAAAAGAGUCUCUAGAAAUAUGGGAAGAUGUUGCAGAAACUUUGGAUAGAGUUGAUAGAUAUGAUAAUGACAACAGAAUUUCAAAAAUACUUUUAUUGAGCUACAACUACUUACCUUCUCACUUGAAAACUUGCUUUCAUUAUUUUGGUGUGUUUCCUGAAGACAACAUCAUUCCCGUUAAGAGAUUAAUCAACUUAUGGGUUGCAGAGGGACUUUUAAUGCCACAUGAAAAUAUGAGUUUGGAAGAAGUGGCAGAGAGUUACUUGCAUGAUCUCAUUAAUAGAGGUUUAGUUCAAAUUAAUGAGCUAAGUAUUGAUGGCAAAGUUAAAUCAUGUAAAGUUCAUGAUCGAGUGCACGAGGUUUGUGUGAGACAAGCAAUAAAGGGGAAUGCUUUGUGCAUUAUCAAUGACAACCGUGCUCCAAAAGCUAGUCAUUGGUUAAGCUGUCAAACAAGUCAUUGGCCAAUCACUCAAGCAAGUUAUGGAAAUUGCCCUCCCUAUAAAAUCUUUUCAGUUCUUUGCUUCGGUAAAGAUGUAUACCAUUCCAAAUGCAGGUUGGUAUACCCAUGUUUGAAAUUGCUAAGAGUAUUGGAUUUAUCAUUAGUUAAAUGGUCACAAGGCUUGCCUUGUGAAAUAACAGAUUUGGUUCAUUUGAGAUACUUGUCUUUAAGUACCAUUGGUUCUCUUUAUGAGCUUCAAUUUCACAAGCUUAAAAAUUUGCAAACUCUCAUAGUUACUUCUUGGAUAGAAAAAUGUCCUUUGCACCUACCGUGUGAUAUUUUGGGUUUGCCACAAUUGAGGCAUUUUCAUAUUGACAAGAGAUGCUCACAGUAUCUCCCUUGCUUAGUCAAAAACAAUCUACAAACUCUUUAUUGGUUGAAAGUUGCUAGCUCCGACGAAAAACCAAACUUCAAAAUGGUUCCAAACCUAUUGGAACUUGGGAUUUACAUUGAAGGCCAUUUGGAGCGUAGCCAUCUAAAAAGCCUUGUGCAAUUACAUCUACUUGAGAAGUUGAAGUUUGAAGUAGGAAGGGUCGAACGCUUUUGCCUUCCAACAGGUUUUCCACCAAACCUUAAGAAGUUGACACUUCGUUAUACUUAUCUUCCAUGGAAGGAGAUGAACACAAUUGGCGAGUUGCCGCACCUUGAGGUGCUUAAACUAAAAGAUUUUGCUUUCUGUGGCUCAAAGUGGAAACCAUCGAAGCAAGGUUUUCGGGAAUUAAAGGCACUUCUUAUUUCACGAACAAAUCUCAAACAUUGGGAUGCAAAUUCUAAUCAUUUCCCAGUUUUGGAGCGCCUGGUCUUAAGAUAUUGUUGGGAAUUGAAACAAAUUCCAACUAAUUUUGAAAAAAUUGGAACACUGAAGCUAAUCGUGUUAGAAUGUUGUUAUUCUUCUCUUGUGACCUCUGCAAAACAGAUUUCUUCUGUAAACAAUAAGGGAGCGUCAAAUUGUCCACUUCAUGUUCGUAAAGUUGGAACUAAGGUUGAAUUGCCAAAUAAUGAAAGCUUUGAAGAAGAAAUUGUAGUGAGGAAGAACAUGUGAAAAACACUGAAGAAGAAAGUGUGAAAAGCUCUGAAGAAGAAAGUGUGGAAAGCUUUGUAGAAAUAGUUGUAAACUUUGAAGAAGAUAGUGUGAAAAUUGUUGAAGUAGAAAGUGUGAAAAACUCUAAAGAAGAAAGUGUGGAAAGCUCUAAAGUAUAGAAGAAUGUGUGGGAAGCUCGAUGGUUUCUCUCUAAAGGAGAAGGUGCCGAAAUCUCUAAAUGCAUUCAAAGACUUGAAGAGGACAGUGUUGUAAGCUCUAAGAAGAAAGUGACUGAGGAAUUUUUAAAUUUUGGGCUUAUUAUAAACUUAUAAAGCCAAGGAAAGUGCAAAGACAAGGCUCUGGAGUCUGGACUAGAAGGAAAACUUUUUUCGUCGUCGAGCCUCGGGUAACCAAUAGCCAGAUUGUGCUCCGGCUAAUACGGAAUUUAUCAAAUCCCAUUUUUGGGAGCUCUGCCAAUGCCUGUUGUUUCAUUCACAUGGUUUGCAAUUGAGAACAAGAAGAAAGCUUUAGAAGAACAUACAGAAGGAGCAUUUUCUCCUAUUUUCUUUGACUCUGAUGCAUGUGUUGGUGUUUUAAUGCCAAAACUGGUGAACAUACAUUUACCUCAUUAUUGUUUGGAUUCCCAGAAGCUCUCUUACCAUAGCAUUUGAAGGGACUAAAAAAGGAGGAAUUAGAUGAGAUACCAAUUGUAGCAGACUUGCUUGGUGACCCGAACGAAAACGAGGUUAGUGCAGAAGCUGAG